GCUCAGGGCAGACCGCUAGCAGGAGGCAGGAUGUGAUAGUCUAAGAGCCUGGAAGCUGACGGCCAGAGGGAGAGAAGGGUGGUUACAGAGGAGAGGCAAAGCAACGGGAGAUGGAGGAUCCUGGAGGUGACUGCAAGGAGAAUACGCAGCGGCGAGGGGCUGCAGAAGCGGACCCAGCGACUUCUGCGCCGACGCAGGGCGGGCGGGAGAGAGGAAGAUAGGGGAGCGCGGUGGCGCUGCGAGCUGGCCCCGCCGGGGAAGGGGCUGCCAUGUCCCGUGAGAGGCCCCCGGGCACCGACAUUCCCCGCAACCUGAGCUUUAUCGCCGCGCUAACGGAGCGCGCCUACUACCGUAGCCAGCGGCCCAGCCUCGAGGAGGAGCCGGAGGAGGAGCCAGGCGAGGGCGGGACGCGGUUCGGGGCCCGAUCCCGCGCUCACGCACCGAGUCGGGGCCGCCGGGCCCGCUCUGCACCAGCCGGAGGCGGCGGGGCCGGGGCGCCCCGCAGCCGUAGCCCAGACACCCGCAAGAGAGUGCGUUUCGCCGACGCACUGGGGUUGGAGCUGGCUGCCGUGCGCCGCUUCCGUCCCGGUGAGCUGCCCCGGGUGCCCCGCCACGUGCAGAUCCAAUUGCAGAGGGACGCCCUCCGCCACUUCGCGCCCUGCCAGCCCCGCGCCCGCGGCCUCCAGGAGGCGCGCGCCGCCCUGGAGCCGGCCAGCGAGCCUGGCUUCGCCGCCCGCUUGCAGGCGCAGCGCAUCUGCCUGGAACGCGCCGAGGCGGGCCCGCUGGGCGUGGCCGGGAGCGCGCGCGUGCUGGACCUGGCCUACGAGAAGCGCGUGAGCGUGCGCUGGAGCGCCGACGGCUGGCGGAGCCAACGCGAGGCGCCAGCCGCCUACGCCGGUCCGGCCCCGCCCCCGCCGCGCGCCGACCGCUUCGCCUUCCGCCUGCCCGCGCCGCCAAUUGGGGGCGCCCUGCUCUUCGCCUUGCGCUACCGUGUGACAGGUCACGAGUUCUGGGACAACAACGGCGGCCGUGACUAUGCUCUACGUGGGCCCGAGCACCCGGGCAGUGGCGGAGCCCCGGAGCCCCAGGGCUGGAUCCACUUUAUUUGAGACGAGGAGCCUGCGGCCGACGGCGGAAAACACCAAAGGCACCCGGGGGGCGGGGCGACCCGAUGUGGCGGGGAGGAAUAGGAGAGACCAGGAUUGGCGGGAGCGGUCCAAGGGAGUCAAGCCGGGGAGGGCGAAAAGGGUGGGGAAAUCAGGGGCGUGGGGGCGGGGGGAGUGAGUGGAACCAAAGAAGCUCCGGGAGAGCCAGGUGUUAAAAGCUGGUUGGAUGUGAGUGGAAGGAACCCAGAAUAUAGGAGGAAGGAGACCCGAAACGGCACCGGAGGAAUUAGAAAAAAAGGAAAAGAAUGGGGAUGAUGGUGGCCUUCCCUUCAGUGAGUGGGCACUGGGAGAAAGGGAGGAGGUCCAUCAGGCCUAGGCGGUUGAAGAAGGUUAAGAACCUUUUGGAGAUGGAGGAGGAAUGAUGUGAAGUAGCCCACCCAGUCGAAGGCAUUUACAUUGCUGGCGCAUUCCCUCUUCUUACCGGCCUUUUCCACCUCAGAUCCCCCUGUCCUACCCAUCCUAGCUUUAACUCAGCCAUAAUUGCCUUGCUUAAUCCCAGAAACCUGGCCACUGCUCCUUGGUCCUUGGCAUUAUGACGGGAUUCCCUUGUCACCUCUGACAGUUCCUGGCUGCGGUGUCCGCGGACUGGCUGGGGAGUGAUGACAGAAGGGAUGGAAACCCUAUUUUCUUUUCUCCAAGACCAUGGUUGGUCUACUUCCCUCACUCGGGCUCCUUGACAGUCUUCUAGAAGAAAGAAGGAGGAAAAGAAGCAGUUCCUGAUGUUACAAAUGAACAAGGAUCUCCCAGGUAACCAGCUCCCCACACCCAUUUCUGUUACUAAUUUCUCAAAGAGAAAUUUCUGGUUCCCCUUCUUCCUUAUCACUGAGUGAAAAGGGACAGGCAUGCACAUGUGCCCAUAUAUGAAUUCAGAAUAGAGUGUGGGGACGGGGGCGAUAGUUCAUUCCUGUAAUCCGAGCACUUUGGGAGGCUGAGGCAGGUGGAUCAUUUGAGGUCAGGAGUUCAAGACCAGCCUGGCUAACAUACUGAAACCCUGUCUCUACUAAAAAUACAAAAAUUAGCUGUGCAUGGUAAUUCAUGCCUGUAGUCCCAGCUACUCAGGAGGCUGAGGCAGGAGAAUCACUUUAACGGGGAGACAGAGGUUGCAGUGAGCUGAGAUUGCACCACUGCACUCCAGCCUGGGUGACAGAGUGAGACUCUGUCUAAAAAAAAAAAAAAAGAGUAUGGGGCUUGUUGGCUUGUUACCAUGCCCCUCCUGUCCACAGCCUUAGUCUUUGAGAAAAGAUGGCUGAAAGAGAGGAACUCUCCAAGUCAUUCCGCAAACAAAUGCCCAUUUAAACAUCAUCCUUGUCUUGUGAAGAAAACAGGAAGAAUGUCAUGCACCAUGUGGAUCACCUUCAGUUCAAAGUUGCAGCAAAGUGAAGAAAGAAACUACUGGAAGCCACCCAGCAAUGCACUGUUUAGUCAUCAAUUAGGAGCCCACAGGAGGAUAAUAGGGAGACUGGGUGGAGGCUCAGUGUGUAAUAAUCUCUUGUGUGUAAUAAUCUCUUGUCUAAUGUAUGUGUGUCACUGCCAUGUUGUAUUAACAAUAGUGAGGGCUCACAUUUACUUAACACUUGUGUGCUCAAAUCUGGGUUUUUUUUUCUUUCCAGAACUAUGACUCGAUCAUAAAAUCUGUUUUGUUUGCAUGCAUGCCCAGAACAACCCUAUGAGUAGAACAUUAUCAUUAUCUCUGUUUUAGAGAUGAGGAAACAGGCUCAGAGAAGCUCAGUAAUUUGUUCAAGAUCGCACAGCUAGUAAAUGGCGGAAGUAGGAUUGUGAACCCAGGGAAUCUCCAGAGCCUCUGUGUAACCAUGAUGUUAUAUUUCUUUCCUCUUUAAAAACAAAAUUAAAAACCUUGCUAUAAUCUCUUAUUAGGAAAA